UUACUAGAAAGGACAAGAAGACUCCAUUCUGGGGGUCAGGAGGUGAAUCCAUCCCUCAGAGGUGGGCAGGUGCUGGGUGAAAAUGCUGCUGGUUCCAGGUGCCCUUAAUUGCCCCUGAUACCUCGUGGCAUUUGAGUCUCUGAGAGGUUCUCAUUCCCUUGCAUCAGGAGGACGUCACGGGCAAAGUGAUGCGCCAGCUCCGCAUCAUCCGGCACUUGCGCCAGGUGCCUGAGGCACUGCAGGGUCUGUGCCUCUGAGGCCACCAGCAACUCCCACCCGCUCCCUGCUGCAGGCCCUGGGAUCUCGCACAGCCUCCCAGACUGGCUCAGCCUGCAGCUGAGCCACCUCUGGGAGCAGUGGGGACACAUCACCUCAUCUCAUCAAAGCAAGCAGUGCUGGGUCUCAGAGAGGCUUCGAUGGAAGACCCCAUUCCCUCAUGGAGGAAGGGGCUCCCCAGAGACGUCCUCGAACAUGGACUCCUAUGAGCAUUUCCAGUCGGAGGCUCCAGCCCCUCGGGCAUGAAGAGAGCAUCAGGCUCUGAAGAAGGCCUGCCCAGAGCCAUGGAUGCCAUGCUGAAGAGCUUGCUGACAGCAACCCGCAGCACAGACAAUCUCCAGCACAUCUUGGAGG